rnacentral:lncRNA from 10 species
GCUUUGUGUGUGGAUGAUAAUAUCAAACUAACUUGCUUUGUGUGGGUUUGGUGUAGGCUUUGGAAAAGCAAGACGUGUCUAGGAGGGAGGCACCAGGGAACUUCCCUCCCUCACUUGAGCACAAUCCAAGAUGAAAGUUUCUGGGUUGUGUCCCCUUCGCUUCCUCUCACCCUCGCUCCCCCGCGGAGCCAAGGAGCCAGCAAUUGUGCAAGAGGAGACCGGCGCACAGGGCGCGUAUCACGGAGCGCAUGGUACGAGCCGCCGGCUCCGGUGAUUAAUUAUCAGUAACCGAUGGCCUCGCGCUACCACGUCGGCUUUCCCAGCAGAGCCAGCAAGCCGAACGCCUCCAGCGCGGCCGGGACGGAGGAGCGGCUCUGGGGAAGACGCCGAGGCUGCGCCCGACGGGCCGGAGCCGGCGAAGGGAAUGCAGGGGCGGGCGCAGAGGGCUGGCUGGCAAGGAGGAGCGGAGCGGAGGAGCGAGGACCGAGCAGCACAGCCCGCCACGCACGCCGACUCCUCCAGCAACCCUCGGCGCUGGCAGCCAAGCCUGCACAGCCUCGUCUCUCUUCUCAGGUCUGAACGAAGCUGCCUCCAGCCACAUGAAGUCAGUAGGGCUGUUCUGAGGGGCCCCGAGAUUUGAUGACUGUUUUUUAGGUUGCGGAACCUACUCCGAGAGAGCAAACACUUUGGACGAAGUGAUUCAUAUUGAUAGAUACAUUUGUUGGGAGGUGGCUUUUUUCAUUCUCAACAGAAAACAAAGAAAUAAAUUAAGUCUUCCCCUGACCCAGAUUGUACUGUGAAACUUUUCAACAAUGUCUCUGCUUUCUUUUACUUCGGUAUCCUUUCCCCUUUUUCUUUUAAGACGCCCUUAGGGAAACCAUGAAGUAACCCUGCACAUUCCAGUAACACAGUUAUGACAAAACAAGAGCCUAACUAGGAAGUGACCACAUUUUAAAAAGUAUUUAGAAAGAAAAACACCAGAAACAAAAGUGCCCAUAACAAU